UACGAAGGGGGCUAGCGUUGCUCGGAAUCACUGGGCGUAAAGCGCACGUAGGCGGAUUCUUAAGUCGGUGGUGAAAGCCUGGAGCUCAACUCCAGAACUGCCUUCGAUACUGAGAGUCUCGAGUUCGGGAGAGGUGAGUGGAACUGCGAGUGUAGAGGUGAAAUUCGUAGAUAUUGCAAGAACACCAGUGGCGAAGGCGGCUCACUGGCCCGAUACUGACGCUGAGG
rnacentral:rRNA from 1 species